GCUGGGCGCCCACAGUGCGGGGUCGAGCUUGCAGUUUCAGAGGGGACUCCUUCACCUCGGCUCCCCCCUCUGCCCAGCGUGUCCGCUUCCAUGAGUAAUCCCUCUCCCGACUUCACGCCCCACAGAUGUUCCAGACGAUGACAUCGCAGCGAGGCCUCCGGGUCCGCUGCGAUGACCCCAGCCCUGGAGAGCUGGUUUUCUCACCUGGGGAUGCGGAACCUCUUCAAGCACAGAGUGCAGGGUGAUCAAGGCCAAUUCGCACAAAAGGAUGCAAGCAUCUGCCCACAGCCCGCUGAGUUCCGUUACUUGCCACCUUUGGCUUUGUGCCACAGGAUGCCAGGGUACAGAAUCAUUCUGUCUAGUCUUCGCGUCUCUGAGGUCCCAGCUCUCACCUUACUUCCUCACUCCCCCAGGAACCCACCAGGCAAAGGAAAUAAUGGGUCUUUCUCCAGUGAAGCUUCAGAGCAACUUCAGAAACCUCUCUUCAAGAACUUACAACGG